rnacentral:rRNA from 1 species
UACGUAGGGGGCAAGCGUUGUCCGGAUUUAUUGGGCGUAAAGAGCGUGUAGGCGGCUAGGUAGGUCCGUUGUGAAAACUCGAGGCUCAACCUCGAGACGUCGAUGGAAACCAUCUGGCUAGAGUCCGGAAGAGGAGAGUGGAAUUCCCGGUGUAGCAGUGAAAUGCGUAGAGAUCGGGAGGAACAUCAGUUGCGAAGGCGGCUCUCUGGACCAGCACUGACACUGAGGCACGAAAGCGUGGGGAGCAAACAGG